rnacentral:sRNA from 12 species
AAAAAUCUUACUAUUAUAUUUGUAUCAAAAUUUGUAUAAGGGUUUUAUAACUUAUACAGCCAUUCUGCUCGAAAUGGUGUAGCAUUGGAAACAAUGGUACUACGAAUUGUAGCAAGGUGCUGGGCGACCUAAAACGGCUCUGGAGGUGCUCUGAGUGGGUACUUUAUUAGGGUUAUAAUUUAGAAAGUAAGCUAAAACUCUAGGUGUUGGGCAGGGCUAACACUGGCAUAUAGUUAAAUAUAUGCGAUAAAGUAAGC